ACAGAUGGUAUAUAGAGCACUAUUCACAAGAACACAGACCUAGAAAAGAGGUUCCAUCUGGCAGAAGUGGCCCAGCCGGAAGCGCAAAAUAUGGAGAUAGAUCAAGAAAAAGCUGCCGUCAUGCUGGAGGAUGAACUCAAGAAAUUCAGGUCAGAUGUCCAGAACAUGCCCAGAAACCAUUGAGGGCAUAUAGUGCUAUUCACUAGAACAAGUCCCUGGAAUCAAGGGUUCAUCUGGCAGAAGUGGCCUAACGGGAAGCAGGGAAUAUGUAGCAAGAUUAGGGAAAAUUUGUUGCCAUGCUGGAGGAUGAACUCAACAAACUUGGGUCAAUGGUCCAGAAAAUGCGCUGCAAUAUGCCACCAGAACCAGUGUCUUAUCACUUAGUGUACAACAUGGAUGCACCCCAAUCUGAUGUUAACCAUCUGCCAACUAAAAAUGAGAGAGAUAAGUCUACCAGAGACAAGGAGAUAACAGCAUUCUUGAAGUCAUCUUCUCCUAGAGGGAGUGUCUGGUUUGAAAAUUAUAUACUGGUAUAUCAAAUUGAUUAAACCAAUUAUCAGUUUAUUCAGAAUUUGUUUUAUCAAAUAUGAGACUGUAUAUAUUCAUUUUUGCUGUAUGAACCCAUAUUUAUACGCCCGUCCUAGACAGGACGUAUUAUGGUAUCACGUUCAGUGUCCGUCCGUCUGUCUGUCCGUCCGUUAACUUUUCCUUGUAAAUGCGAUAACUUCCGUUUGACUUAACCUAGUCUCAUAUAAUUGAUUUUGAGGUCAAAGGUCAAGGUCACAGUGACAUAUUGUCAUCUUACCCUUCUGCAGUCCUUGUAAACAUGAUAACUUCAGUUUAACUUAAUCUAGGCUCAUAUAAUUUGGUGUGUAUGAUAUUAGCAUAGAUCCAAGGAAGCCUAUUUAUUUUUUUAGGUCAAAGGUCAAUGUCACAGUGACAUGUUUUCAUACUACCCUUCUGCAGUCCUUGUAAAUGCGGUAACUUUAGUUUAACUUAACCUAGGCUCAUAUAAUUUGGUAUGUAUGAUACUAGCAUGGAUCCCAGGAAGCCUAUGGAUUUUGAGGUCAAAAGGUCAAGGUCACACUGACAGGUUUCCAUCUUACCCUUCUGAAGUCCUUGUAAACGAGAUAACUUUAGUUUAACUUAACCUAGGCUCAUAUAAUAUGGUGUGUAUGAUACUAGCAUGGAUCCCAGGAAGCCUAUGGAUUUUGAGGGUCAAAAGGUCAAAGGUCAAGGUCACACUGACAUGUUUUCAUCUUACCCUUCUGAAGUCCUUGUAAACAAGAUAACUUUAAUUUAACUUAACCUAGGCUCAUAUAAUUUGGUGUGUAUGAUACUAGCAUGGAUCCCAGGAAGCCUAUUGAUUUUGAGGUCAAAAGGUCAAAGGUGAAGUCACCACCUUCCACUUUUCUUGCUUGAACAAUAACUCCAUUUUCCCCGUUACGGGCGGGAGUAUUAUGUGCUUGCCUUAGCGACACUAUUGUUAUGUUUCUUAUGAUGACUUUUGUGCAGUUCCAUGCAGCAGGUCCAAGCUAUUAUCUCUUUGCUGACAUGUCAUUGUUUCUGAAUUGUAUCUGUUGUUUUAUUAUUGGAUGCAUACUAUGGAGGUGUUGUGAGAGCUGAUAGUUUGCAUGCACAUUGCCUUGGACUUAGUCUACAUAUUGUAUAAUUUUAUUUGUUUUUGAAAAUUUCUAUUGAUUAUGUAUGCUAAUUUAUGCAUAAUUUGUAUACUUUUUGCCUUAAAAAAAAGGGUCAAAUUGUCCAAAUUUUUGGUGUAGAAACUAUUCUUGGUGUUGUUAUCAAAUGUUCGUGAAAAAAAUUGCGAUAUCAAGACAAUAUUUUUUUAAUUAGUUUGAAACUGCAAUUUCCUUUUUGUUUUUUUACUUGCUUUUCAUUGAUUUUUGUCUCGUCAUAUAGCAGAGCGAGACUACAUGUAUAGGCGCUGAUUUUCUGAUGGCGGCGGCUUCAUCAACAUCAAAUCUUAACCUAAGGUUAAGUUUUUUGAAGGACAUCAUAACUUAGAAAGUAUAUAGAUCUAGUUCAUGAAACUUACACAUAAGGGUGAUGAAGUAUUUCUGAAUAUCAUAGUGAAAUGACUUGUCCUCGAACUGUUUGAGGGAUCAGUUCUCACCUUUAAAUCUGUGUCACUCAACCCAGGUUAAGACAAAAACCCACUUUAGAUAGGUCUAGUAUUAUAAUUGAGUUAGAAAGUGCUUUCAUAUUAUUUGAUAUUUUACUUUCCUUUUUAUUGUCUCGCCUGCAUAGCAGAGGGAGACUAUAGGGGCCUCUUUUCCAACGGCGACGACAUCGUCAACAUAGAAUUCUUAACCAAGGUUAAGUUUUUGAAAUGUCCUCAUAACUUAGAAUGUAUUUGGACCUAGUUCAUGAAACUUACACAUAAUGGUGAUAGUGUAUCACUGAAGAUCCUGCUUGAGUUUUAGGUCACAUGACCAAGGUCAAAGGUCAACAAACUUUGACCAUGUUAGGGGGUAUUUGUGGAAUUGUCAUAACUUUAAAAGUUUAUAGGUCUAGUUCAUGAAACUUGGACAUAAGAGUAACCAUGUAUCCCUGAAUAUCCUGUGCGUGUUUCAGGUUACAUGACCAAGAUCAAAGGGUCAUUUAAGGUCAAUGAACUUUGUCCGUGUUGGGGGAAUUUGUUGAAUUGGCAUCAGAACUUAGAAAGUUUAUGGAUCUACACAUAUAGUUCAUGAAAUAUAUUCUACGUAAGGGUAAUCGAGUAUGAAUGAUUGUAUUGCACAUGUCAUAGGUCACAUGAUCAUAGUCAAAGUUCAUGUUGGGUCAAUGGACAUAGUAUUUCAUUAUCAUAUGAGUGUUUUCUUUUGUGAGUAAUCAAUAGCCGUUUUCAAAGUCAGCGCUGCUGUUAUAUUGAAUCGCUUAAUGCAGGCGAGACAGCCAGAGGCGUUCCACUUGUUAUUGUUUAGCAAAAAAAUUCUAGGAAUGUUUCACAAAAAACAAAAUCUGACCUAAAGUCAAGUCAUGCUGAAGCAUUAACAUGCUCAUGAUAUUUGAUAUACACAGUAUAAUCGUAAUCAAUCGUAACUCUAUGGAAAUCCAUUAGUUUCAUAAUUUUUUCCACAGGAAAUUUGCAAAAUGUCCUUCGUGAACGAAGGAUAACUCACCAAAUUGUCAAGAAAUCAAGAUACAUGUAUACAUUCAUAUCUAGACAUUUUUUUUAACAAACAUGCAUUUUAUAUGUUAACUUUGCUGGCUUUCCAUAGUUGCAAUUGAUAGGAUUAACCGCAACUCUAUGUAAGACGGGGCCCUGUUAUUUUCCACACGCAAGUAGAAAUUUAAUCACACUUAACUUUUUGUGAAACACCUCUUUAAUUUGUUUCUUAAGGCCUCCGCACACCUUUCGAAUGGUACACAAUCUGAUUUUGGAGCAAAUCACAUAUUGUUAACUUUCUGAAAUGUGAAUAACAACUACCUUUUUUUUCGAGGCUUAAAAUUAACUGUGAGUAUACUAAAUAAUUUUGGCUGAUUUUAAACCUUUAUUUUUUUAUUAGUAAAGGCCAAAUUGACUUUAAUUUGUAGUAAAUUGUAUGAUUGCUGUGACAUCACUUCAACUAGAUGUUCAUUUUUCAAUGCAAACGAUGAUGCUAGUAUAGUCACAUAUUUCAAUAUGAGUAUUGGUAGGAUGACUUUGUACAGCAAGAUGUCACAUGUACCCAACGUUUUUCUCGGAAAUCGGGUCGCAGAACAAUCAAAAGGUGUGCGGUGGCCUUUACAUCUAUGUCAGAUAGCUUGGACCUGCCCUACAGUGUACAAUUGUCUGUGCUAUAUACUAUACUUGCUUUGUAUUCGUGAGGUGUAUUUUUUCCUUUUAAAAAAAAAAUUGUAAGACCAGCAGCCUGGAAGACUUAUUCAAGUUGCAGGACCAUAGCAGUUGACCUCGAUUGAUGGUGGUAGGCCCUAAACCUUACAAGCAUGGCUUCCUGUCUGGUUUGAGCUGAGGUCUUCUUGCCAGAAUCACACAAUUAGUGACAUCACUACCAAGAGAUCUAUUUUUCAGUGUGCAGAGAAGGACACUGGACAAUGUGGUGCAUGGUAUACAACUUACCACAAUGUAAGUGCUUUAAUUAUGAUUUUGUGUUGCCUAAAGUAUGUGAGACAAUGCAAUAGGUUUCCCAGUAAUUUAUUGAGGGCAAUAGAAAAUAUUGGGCGGCAAUUUUACCCAUAUCAGGAUUUCUGUCUUUCUUUAUAUACCUCCCAGUACUAUUUGUGCCAGCUGUUGCUCUAACUUUAUCUUUGUUUCACAUUGUUGCAACAUUAUACAUUCCAUGACUGAUUUAAUGUGCUAAGAAUUUAAACAAUUUUUAUAAGAAAUUUAUAUAUACAGACAUUGAUCCAUUUUUUUUAGCUGUAGAGCAAUGAAAGAGCAAUGUGAAUUAUUUUGCAAUAUAUACUCCUUUUCUGUAUGUGUCAUUUCAAUUUGAAAUACACUGUACAGUAUUAUUCCACACUUACUGCGGUCAUUUUACCAUGUACCUACAUAAACCUCAUGUUUGUGCUAAUGCCAAAGGCACCACCAAAAACAUAGCGUUUGUACAAGUGCCGAGUGUGUAUCCAUCAUGACAUCAUGAAUGUGAAGAGAUAAUGUGGACUGCACGAAUGUUUAGAUAUGUGAUGAUAGAUGGUAGGACCUAAAAAUUGGUUUGUCUGCCCAAAUCUUCAACUUCGGAUAUAAAAUUUUCAACAAUUUUUAUGAGGGUGUGCACUUCAAUGUUUUUUUCCACAAUGUGUAAAAAAAAAUGCUCCUUCAAUCAGAGCAAUAUACAUGUAUGAAUCUUGUUUCAGAAGUGCAAUGUCAAAUUUUUACUUCUAGAGCCUUGCCAAUGUAGUGUUUCAAGUUGACCCAUUAUCCAUAUUGUAUUUGAAAUAUUGACGGAGCAGUUUAGCCAAUAUGGCUUUGGAGCUAAGUGGCAUUGAUAAGAUCGAUCAAAACCUGGUUUGCUCUCCAUAUGGAGCAGGUAACCAUUUUUUCUGCACAAAGAGAAGACAGAGGAACUGGUGAUGAAAAGAGUGCUGCUGACUUUCAGAAGUUUAUUUCAGUUGCGUGUGUCAUCUUUAUAUUUGGUGUUUGGAAUUGGGUAAUGUUGCGAUAAUCUUCAAGUACUGUGUGACCACAGGGAAUGGUGUUCCUUUCAGCUUACGCAUGAUAUCCAGAGCUCUUCAAGACCUCUUUACAAUUCACACGCCUCUUGGACUCACAAAUGCUAAUAUCUUGUGAGAGUGUUGGCCUCUUUCUGGUGGCAUUAGAGGAAUUCUCAGUGGAUCUAGUUCCAGUUAGUAAUUUUUGUCUUUUCCAGCCAUUUGAUAUUUUCCUGUGUUUAUUGGAUUUUCCCGGAUUCAUUUGACUCUGAUGGAAUGAAAGGCAAUCUGAAGUCUUGGUAUUAUAGAUUCAGAGACAACAAAGACUAUUUUUUGCUCCUCAUGCGUGCCGAUCUUGCCACCAAAAGGGAAUACAUCUGAUACAUUUUCUGGCUUUGUAACUCUACUUUUUAAACCACAAUCUACUUGUUUGAAUUCUAUAAAGGCAGAUUCUUUAAGUCUUUGUCAAUAUUCAUUUUCUGUGUCCAGGAGAAAACGCUCUUUCUUUGGAAUGAAUUUUGAAUAGAUUUCCUGUUCAGAGGAAUCUUCAUCAUGUUCAGGCAUUCAGAAAUGUAAUCCCUAAAAGUGAAGGGAACUUUCUGGCCCGUAUUCUCAUGUCAGGUUUAACUUAAACUCAGGCUUAAAGUUGUGGUUGAAGUAUGGAUAGCCAGUUACAUAAAUCACUUACAGUAGAGAUAUCAUAUUUCAGCUCAUUUGGCUCUCAAAUCAUUCAUAAUUGUCUAGGAAGUAUAAAUAGAUGAUUGUUUUCACCAUUGAAGAAUCAGGAAAGAGCCCAGCAAACAUCAGAAACAUAUAACUUAAUAAAAAUUUUGACACUUUUGGCUUCCCAUAAUUUUAGCACAGAGUUAGACCAUGGUCUAAGACAGUUAAACCUGACUUCAGAAUACGGGCCACUGUGUUUAACCCUACAUAGCCCAGGCUAUUUUGAAAUUACAUAGACAGUGGGUUGUCAUCAAUUUUUUUUGUCAAUGAAAGUUGUCAUCUCUAUUUUCAGUCAUAAAUACAUGAAAUCAAUAGCUUGUAAACAGCAAAGGUAAAAAUGAUGAUACAUUUAUUAAUUUUGGCUACAUACAGAAAUUGCAGUGAAUUUUUCAAAUUAAAUCACAGGUUUUAGCAAUUUUGGAUCUGAUAUGCACUUACAAAACGUUGCCAAACUUUGUAACUGCAUACCAUCGCAUUGUGAAUUUUGUCUUAAAAUUUGCAUAAGAAAUAUUUCAUUAAAUGUGUCCUGAUCUUUACAGAUUGAUCACGAAAAAUAUCAUGUGGGGCUAAAAAUAAGCCCCACCCCCCUACCCAGGCUAGAUAGGGUUAAGGUACAUGCUGAACAUUACCAGUUACUGGAGAAGGGCCUCCACUCAAUGAUCAAUUUGCGUAUGAUAUGGUGCUAUUUAAAAAAUCUCUUAAUGCGAAUUGGUGAGUCUUUCACUUCCUUGCAGUGAUCAUACAAUGCAUAAUUUGCAGACAAUCGUAGAAUUAGUUCCUUCUUGCUUAUGUAGUUCCAAUUAUCAUGUCAGAGAAGCUUGUCAGCCAGGUCCUGAAGCUUGACAUGAAGUGAUGCUAGCCUGCUCAUUCAUCCAUUUUCUGUCUGGGUAGGACAGUGAUUGGUAGAUUUUUCCAACAGUGUCAAUGUGGCUAAAGAAAUGGUUUCCUAUAUCCAGCGGGUGCCGUGCGGUCCGUCAGAUUUGAAAGUGCAUGUUUUGGUAGAUUUUCCUAACACUCCCAUGACAUUUUGGCAAAAGAAGUGGUUUUCUCCAUCCAGUCUGGAACAACUUUGGGCAAGUCUAUUGGGUGCUGUCUGUGAGAGUUCUCAUUUGGUUCCUGAUGACCAUUCGGCUGAAGAAAUGGUUUCUUAUAUCCAUGGAAAGAUUUUUUUGGAAAUUUUAUUGGGUGCUGUCUCUGAAAUUUGACAUUUCGCUUCACUACUAUGGUUCAUGCAUUGUAUUGUAAUGAUUGAUGGGGAAUUAUAAACCAUUGUGGGAUAUGAACUGGACUCCCUCAGGACAAGCCUAUGUUGAAGUCCUAACCUCGUUAGAUCUAUCUAUCAUUGUCGGUGCCUCGCCUGAUCUCUCAGAGUUCAUGGUGGCAUGAUGGAUACAGAAUGCACGCAAACAUUUGGUUCUUGUAUGAUGGUGAAUGAAUAGAUUAGCUUGAUAGGGGAAAACUUAAUUAUUUUUCCUGUUGGUUUCUAUUUUGAUAAAAUGCAGUAUUCAUUGAAAUUCAUAGAAAUGAAAAUGCAUCAUGUACAGAAAAAGGUUUAUUUAUUUGCAGAAUCGUAAUAGAUUUGCUCUUUUAAAUGAAAAGCUCCCCCCCUAAAAAAAAAAAAGAAAUAGCCAAUCAAAAUGUUUUAAUGAUAUGAAUUU